rnacentral:rRNA from 1 species
CCUACGGGAGGCAGCAGUGAGGAAUAUUGGUCAAUGGACGAGAGUCUGAACCAGCCAAGUAGCGUGAAGGAUGACUGCCCUAUGGGUUGUAAACUUCUUUUAUAUGGGAAUAAAAUGUUCCACGUGUGGUCUUUUGUAUGUACCAUAUGAAUAAGGCUCGGCUAACUCCGUGCCAGCAGCCGCGGUAAUACGGAGGAUCCGAGCGUUAUCCGGAUUUAUUGGGUUUAAAGGGAGCGUAGGUGGAUUGUUAAGUUAGUUGUGAAAGUUUGCGGCUCAACCGUAAAAUUGCAGUUGAAACUGGCAGUCUUGAGUACAGUAGAGGUGGGCGGAAUUCGUGGUGUAGCGGUGAAAUGCUUAGAUAUCACGAAGAACUCCGAUUGCGAAGGCAGCUCACUGGACUGAAACUGACACUGAGGCUCGAAAGUGUGGGUAUCAAACAGGAUUAGAUACCCUUGUAGUC